UACGAAGGUGGCAAGCGUUGUUCGGAUUUACUGGGCGUACAGGGAGCGUAGGCGGUUGGAUAAGCCCUCCGUGAAAUCUCCAGGCUUAACCUGGAAAGUGCAGAGGGGACUGUUCAGCUAGAGGAUGGGAGAGGAGCGCGGAAUUCCCGGUGUAGCGGUGAAAUGCGUAGAGAUCGGGAGGAAGGCCGGUGGCGAAGGCGGCGCUCUGGAACAUUUCUG
rnacentral:rRNA from 1 species